rnacentral:rRNA from 1 species
UACGAAGGGGGCUAGCGUUGUUCGGAAUCACUGGGCGUAAAGCGCACGUAGGCGGAUCUUUAAGUCAGGGGUGAAAUCCUGGAGCUCAACUCCAGAACUGCCUUUGAUACUGGCGACCUUGAGUCCGGGAGAGGUGAGUGGAACUGCGAGUGUAGAGGUGAAAUUCGUAGAUAUUCGCAAGAACACCAGUGGCGAAGGCGGCUCACUGGCCCGGUACUGACGCUGAGGUGCGAAAGCGUGGGGAGCAAACAGG